rnacentral:lncRNA from 1 species
GGUGGUUUGAUGCGGAUGAUCCGCCAUGUUUGUUCUGCGGAGUGUUUGAUAGUGACGCAGAAACGUAGAACGAAUUGACAGAAAUGGUCAUAACGACGUAAUGAGAAAUUCAUAAACCAUCCAUUAACUAAACAACAAGCAUUUGUAAAUAUACGAGAGAUUUGGCUAACAGUGCAAAAACAAGUGAGAAAGGAACCAUCUUUAGUUCGUUUGUAACUUACUUCAUGAAGAUUGUGGGAUCAGACUCAGUUUUAUUGAAACUAUUGUGUUAAGUGUGCAUUUGUUAUCUCAACAUGAACCUCUCAAUAUAGAUUACGAGACAGAGUUGGAAUAUUUUUGAAAAAAAUCAUUUAGUAUACUGUAGACUUCCUUCUCUUUUGAGAUGGGAUCCAGAAUUCCAGGAGAUAAAGUAAGCUUGCUAUAUUUUUAUUAUUAUUUGCUUAUUUGCGUCGAACAAAUACUUCGUUUCAAUAAUACGGUGUAUUUGUCCUUAGUCAAACUUAAAUUUUCUCGACAUUUUUAUACUCCGAUAAGUUCUAUAAGUGAAAUUUGUUUACAUCAAAAGUUAAAACAUUUUCUAAAACUUCUUAAUUUAAAUAUUAGUGGAUCAUUUUGCAUUUUUAAAUAUACUGAUUGCCGAAAUAGUAUUUAAUGAUAAACCUGGAUUACUUUCGUUUUA